rnacentral:rRNA from 1 species
GAUGAACGCUGGCGGCGCAUUUAAGACAUGCAAGUCGAACGAAAAUUUACGCUUUACGAGUUAAUUGAUUUAUCAAGAGGCAAGUAAUUGUAAAUUUUAGUGGCGGACGGGUGAGUAAUACAUAGAUAAUCUGCCUUCUAGAGGGAAAUAACUACGAGAAAUUGUAGCUAAUGUCCCAUAAGUACCACACUUAGGCCAUCUAAGAGAGGUCAAAGGAGAAAUCCGCUAGAAGAUGAGUCUAUGGCUGAUUAGUUAGUUGGUGAGGUAAGAGCUUACCAAGACGAUGAUCAGUAGCCGAGCUGAGAGGCUGAUCGGCCACAUUGGGACUGGGACACGGCCCAG